UCUGUGUUCUAGGCGAUUACUCUCACUAAAAAAGUAAGAGAGGAAAGUCCGAGCACUAAUCCGCCGUUUGGCGGAAAAACGGUAACGGGUAAUGCCCGUCCGCGGUAACGCGAGAGUUGCGAUCAGAGACGGUUUUUCGCAAAAGCGAAAAACCGCCCUCCGAAGCUUUAUGCGAAGGAGGGCGAGUUCAGUAAUAGGCAUGUUCCGAAUAGGAAUGGCUCUUCUUCGUUAAAACUACGAAGGGUUCAGCCGAAAGCUGAAGUGAAACGGCUAAAAACUUACCGGAGUGCAAGAGCAGCGUUCCGGCACUUUCUUUGUAAUUUUUAGAAAGCGCCUGGUUCGAAAAGUUAGCUCGCUAUUGAUCUUGACGGCAACGUUAAGGCUAGAUAAAUGAUCGCCUCUUUCCCUAAUAUAAUAAUGGGGGAUAGACAGAACUCGGCUUAUUGGACACAGAACCA
rnacentral:RNase_P_RNA from 2 species